rnacentral:rRNA from 1 species
GAUGAACGCUGGCGGCGUGCCUAACACAUGCAAGUCGAGCGUGAUUAAGUGGAGUGAGGACUUCGGUCUGAGUGAAACUUAUGAAAGCGGCGGACGGGUGAGUAACGCGUGGGCAACCUGCCCCAUACAAAGGGAUAGCCAUUGGAAACGGUGAUUAAUACCUUAUAAGUCGGUAGUCUCGCAUGAGAUAGCCGACAAAGAUUUAUCGGUAUGGGGAUGGGGCCCGGUCUGAUUAGCUAGUUGGUGAGGUAACGGCUCACCAAGGCGACGAUCAGUAGCCGACCUGAGAGGGUGAUCGGCCACACUGGAACUGAGACACGGUCCAGACUCCUACGGGAGGCAGCAGUGGGGAAUAUUGCGCAAUGGGGGAAACCCUGACGCAGCAACGCCGCGUGAGUGAGGAAGGUCUUCGGGUCGUAAAGCUCUGUCAGGCGGGAAGAAAUGCAUGGAGGUGAACAGCCGCCAUGCUUGACGGUACCGCCAGAAC